AUACUUACCUGGCAAGGGAGAGACCGUGAUCACCAAGGCGGUUCACCCAGGGCGAGGCUCGGCCAUUGCACUCCGGCUGUGCUGACCCCUGCGAAUUUCCCAAAUGUGGAAAUCUCGAUUGCAUAAUUUCUGGUAGUGGGGGACUGCGUUCGCGCUCUCCCCUG
rnacentral:snRNA from 1 species